CUUUAGCCCCGAUAGCAGUGGAAAUCCUUUUGUGCCGGGGUUCGGCACAAAAGAUUGCAACGUAUAGCGGGAAAAAGC
rfam:Flavobacterium spartansii strain MST NODE_7_length_344708_cov_44.3436, whole genome shotgun sequence.